rnacentral:rRNA from 1 species
UACAGAGGGUGCUAGCGUUGUUCGGAAUCAUUGGGCGUAAAGGGUGCGUAGGCGGCUUUGUAAGUCAGUGGUGAAAUACGGUAGCUCAACUAUCGAGGUGCCAUUGAUACUGCGGAGCUUGAGUACAGAUGAGGUAGGCGGAAUUGACGGUGUAGCGGUGAAAUGCUUAGAUAUCGUCAAGAACACCUAUAGCGAAGGCAGCUUACUAGGCUGUAACUGACGCUGAGGCACGAAAGUGUGGGGAUCAAACAGGAUUAUAGUACCCUGGUAGUCCG